UGGAAUAUGCUUGUUUCAAAGAUUAAGCCAUGCAUGUCUGAGCAUGCGCUGAAGUAAAGUGAAGCCGCGAAUAGCUCAUUACAACAGCCGUUGUUUCUUGGAUCUCUUCUCUACUUGGAUAACUGUGGUAAUUCUAGAGCUAAUACAUGCAAAAAAGCCCUGAACGUGAGUGACGGGCGCAUUUAUUAGAACAAGACCAUCUGGCUUCGGCCAUACGUUGGUGACUCUGAAUAACUGAGCCGAUCGCACGGGCUUGUCCCGGCGACGUAUCUUUCAAGUGUCUGCCUUAUCAGGUUUCGUUGGCGGUUUAUGUGACCGCCAAGCCUGUAACGGGUAACGGAGGAUCAGGGUCUGACUCCGGAGAGGGAGCCUGAGAAACGGCUACCACUUCUAAGGAAGGCAGCAGGCGCGCAAAUUACCCAUUCUUGGCUCAAGGAGGUAGUGACGAAAAAUACCUAGGUGAGGCUCAUCGAGCUUCACCAUUGGAAUGAGAACAAUCUAAAUCCUUUAACGAGGAUCUAGU
rnacentral:rRNA from 1 species